rnacentral:misc_RNA from 1 species
AAACCCUCAAGCACUGCUUGGUGUUGGGCGUUUGUCCCGCCGCGGCGCGGACUCGCCUCAAAAGCAUUGGCGGCCUGUGUAUUGGCUUCGAGCGCAGCAGAAUGUGGCUCCGGACCUUUUGCGCGGGCGUCCAUCAAGAUCUCCCCCAA